GAUGAACGCUGGCGGCGUGCCUAACACAUGCAAGUCGAGCGGCAGCGCGAGUAGUUUACUACUUGGCGGCGAGCGGCGGACGGCUGAGUAACGCGUGGGAACGUGCCCCAAAGUGAGGGAUAACUUUGAGAAAUCGGAGCUAAUACCGCGUAGUAUCUUCGGAUUAGAGAAUUUAUUCGCUUUGGGAGCGGCCCGCGUCGGAUUAGGUAGUUGGUGAGGUAAAGGCUCACCAAGCCGACGAUCCGUAGCUGGUCUGAGAGGAUGACCAGCCAGACUGGAACUGAGACACGGUCCAGACUCCUACGGGAGGCAGCAGUGAGGAAUCUUCCACAAUGGGCGAAAGCCUGAUGGAGCAACGCCGCGUGCAGGAUGAAGGCCUUCGGGUUGUAAACUGCUUUUAUAAGUGAAGAAUAUGACGGUAACUUAUGAAUAAGGAUCGGCUAACUACGUGCCAGCCGCCGCAGUAA
rnacentral:rRNA from 1 species